rnacentral:rRNA from 1 species
AGAGUUUGAUCCUGGCUCAGAAUGAACGCUGGCGGCGUGCUUAACACAUGCAAGUCGAGCGAGAAAAGCCUUCGGGCUUAGUAAAGCGGCAAACGGGUGAGUAAUACAUAGGAAUCUGCUUCAGUGAGGAAUACCCUCGAGAAAUCGAGGUUAAUACUGCAUACGUCCCUUCGGGGAGAAAGAUGGCCUCUUGCUGUCGC